CUUUUAGAUAUUUUGCAAUGGAGAGUCUUUGGAAAAUCGCAUUAUCUUCUUGUGAGGAAUGAACUAGCGCUCCUAGGAGCACAGAGACACUGUUUGGCGCUUGGGGCAAAGCUUGUCGAGAUAGAAACUCCAGAAGAAAACACAUAUUUGACAAACAUUGCGAAGCAAGAAAACGUUGAUAUUCGGAUUGGGAUUACUGAUAUCUUUGAGGAGGGAAAAUGGGUGUUCCUAUCGUCGUUGAAAGCUGUUCCGUUUACUUACUGGAGCUGGGGUAAUCCCGACAAUACUUUUAAUCAAGACUGUGUUACGUUAGCAAGCUAUGUUGACUAUGAGUGGGAUGACGACCAUUGUUCAGCUCAAAGGAAUUUUGUUUGUGAAAGAUUAAUUGGUUGAUAAUCAUGACGUCACCAUUCAAACUAAAGUUUGAAUGAAAUAUUAAGUUGUUAUUUAACGUGUAUCAACAAGUGAACAAGUAGUAUUUAGUAGGGAAAAAUUCAAUCUUAUAUAUUACUUGUAUAUAGGUCAAGAUGCUGUGAAUGAAAAUAUAUAUAACAGUAAAAAUUGAAAACUUAGAUUUCG